GACGAACGCUGGCGGCGUGCUUAACACAUGCAAGUCGAACGGAAAGGUCUCUUCGGAGACACUCGAGUGGCGAACGGGUGAGUAACACGUGGGCAAUCUGCCCUGCACACCGGGAUAAGCCUGGGAAACUGGGUCUAAUACCGGAUAGGACCACUUGGCGCAUGCCUUGUGGUGGAAAGCUUUUGCGGUGUGGGAUGGGCCCGCGGCCUAUCAGCUUGUUGGUGGGGUGACGGCCUACCAAGGCGACGACGGGUAGCCGGCCUGAGAGGGUGUCCGGCCACACUGGGACUGAGAUACGGCCCAGACUCCUACGGGAGGCAGCAGUGGGGAAUAUUGCACAAUGGGCGCAAGCCUGAUGCAGCGACGCCGCGUGGGGGAUGACGGCCUUCGGGUUGUAAACCUCUUUCACCAUCGACGAAGGUCCGGGUUCUCUCGGAUUGACGGUAGGUGGAGAAGAAGCACCGGCCAACUACG
rnacentral:rRNA from 1 species